rnacentral:rRNA from 1 species
AUUGAACGCUGGCGGCAGGCCUAACACAUGCAAGUCGAGCGAGCGGCGGACGGGUGAGUAAUGUAUGGGGACUGCCCGAUAGAGGGGGAUAACUACUGGAACCGGUAGCUAAUACCGCAUACUAUCGGAUAACCCAUAUGGGAUUAGCUGGGUGGUGAGGUAAUGGCUCACCAAGGCGACGAUCCCUAGCUGGUCUGAGAGGAUGAUCAGCCACACGGGGACUGGUACACGGCCCAGAUUCCUACGGAGGCAGCAUUGGGGAAUAGUGCACAAUGGGCGCAAGCCUGAUACAGCCAUGACGCGUGUAUGAAGAAGGCCCGAGGGUUGUAAAGUACUUUCAGUCGGGAGGCGUUACCGACAGAAGAAGCACCGGCUAACUCCGUGCCAGCAGCCGCGGUAAUAC